UUCUGGAUCUAUGCCUUAGAAAGAUUUCUUUGAGGAUUUAAUUUAAAAUCUGAUAUUCAAAGUCGACGGUCGUUGCCGAAACAAGCUAUAAAAGUUUGUGAAUGAAAGACAAUAUUUACUAAGCAUUAAGCAUUUUAACCACGUAGACAAUUUUGAAGAUUAUAAGUACAUUUAAACAGUGUAAAAUAUUGUUGGUUGCUGUUGCCUCUUUCCCAUAUACUCAGAUAAGUAAAGGUGCAUAUUUAAAAAGUGAAAAUCGUAAUUUGAUUUGUUUGUGCAAUAUGGAGGCACGUAGAUACGUAAUCUUCAACUUUGUACCGGCAAAAGUGAAAAAAAUCAACACAAAAUAAAAACCAUAUUAAAGGCAGGCGAUUCUCAACAAAUCCUGUACACUUGAAAUUGUCAUUGCAAACUAAAGCAAAACAUUGAAUUUACUCCAGAGUCUAAUGCUGCCGAUUAGAAUAUGAUGAUGCAUCCAUUAAAAAAGUAAAAUUAAGUUAAAAUUAAAUUUGUAGUGAAAUGUAAAGUGAUAGUGAUCAAUAAAACAUUUUUAUAACG